rnacentral:rRNA from 1 species
CCUUACACAUGCAAGUCGAACGGCAGCGCGGGAGCAAUCCUGGCGGCGAGUGGCGAACGGGUGAGCAAUACAUCGGAACAUGUCCAGUAGUGGCGGUAUACCGCCCCCCCUCCUCCCCCCCCCCU